UUCGGAAUAGUGCAGUUGGUAGCACGUCGACCUCAUAAGUCGAAGUCGCGGGUUCGAAUCCUGCUUCUGAAU
rnacentral:tRNA from 1 species